rnacentral:rRNA from 1 species
UGACAUAUCUAGAAUCCUGCAGAGAUGCGGGGAGUGCCUUCGGGAAUUAGAAUACAGGUGCUGCAUGGCUGUCGUCAGCUCGUGUCGUGAGAUGUUGGGUUAAGUCCCGCAACGAGCGCAACCCUUGUCCUUAGUUACCAGCGGGUUAAGCCGGGACCUCUAAGGAUACUGCCAGUGACAAACUGGAGGAAGGCGGAGAAAAACGUCAAGUCAUCAUGGCCCUUACGACCAGGGCUACACACGUGCUACAAUGGUAGGUACAGAGGGCAGCUACACAGCGAUGUGAUGCGAAUCUCAAAAAGCCUAUCGUAGUCCAGAUUGGAGUCUGCAACUCGACUCCAUGAAGUAGGAAUCGCUAGUAAUCGCGGAUCAGAAUGCCGCGGUGAAUACGUUCCCGGGCCUUGUACACACCGCCCGUCACACCAUGGGAGUUGAUUGCACCAGAAGUGGAUAGCUUAACCUUCGGGGAGGCGUUCACCACGGUGUGGUUGAUGACUGGGGUGAAGUCGUAACAAGGUA